AACUUCCGUUUUAGAAUUUCUCCAUCCAAAACAACAGUGGAGGUGGAGUAACAUUACUCAUCAAAAUCCCUUAAGGACAAUUUGGAAAUACCGCAUCUAUCCCCCAUAAUCAAGACAGAUGUGGAACGAAGCUCGUGCCACCAUAAAGACCAGGUUUUUUUGUAGCCAUGUUGACGCUGUGUUAUGGAAGGUGGAAAACACCGUUAGGCAAGAGAAGAUAAGUCGAUGUGCCUCACUUACUGUACGUUGAUCAACAUAUAUUGUUGUUGAGAGAAAUGGGGGAGGAAAUGUUUUGUAUUCAUAAAUGUGUCCUCAGUUGAUGUGGAAAUAAUGCUCCUAUUGCUUGUUAUUAUUGACAUAUUAACUUUUCGCCACAAGAUGGCAGGAUGGGACUUAAUUGUCUAAAGUGCUACUUUUAUUACUUCUUCUUGUUUGACUUUGAUGACUUUGAUUUGUGGGAUUGCCUGUGAAGACAGCAAUGAGAGAGGAUGUAUCCGCAUGUCGAUGGAAAUUAAACACGCCAAGUUUUGGCUAAAAGACAA